CCUACAACAUAGAACUCCACAAUUAAAUCGGAUUCCAUUAGAACUCCACAAUUAAGCGCGCUCGGUCUAGAGUAGUACUAGGAUGGGUGACCGCUCGGGAAGUACUAGUAUUUUACAUGC
rnacentral:rRNA from 1 species